rnacentral:rRNA from 1 species
UACGUAGGGCGCAAGCGUUGUCCGGAAUUAUUGGGCGUAAAGAGCUCGUAGGCGGCUUGUCACGUCGGGUGUGAAAGCCCGGGGCUUAACCCCGGGUCUGCAUUCGAUACGGGCUAGCUAGAGUGUGGUAGGGGAGAUCGGAAUUCCUGGUGUAGCGGUGAAAUGCGCAGAUAUCAGGAGGAACACCGGUGGCGAAGGCGGAUCUCUGGGCCAUUACUGACGCUGAGGAGCGAAAGCGUGGGAGCGAACAGG